rnacentral:rRNA from 1 species
UACGGGGGGGGCAAGCGUUGUUCGGAAUUACUGGGCGUAAAGGGCGCGUAGGCGGCCUGCUAAGUCGGACGUGAAAUCCCUCGGCUCAACCGGGGAACUGCGUCCGAUACUGGAUGGCUUGAAUCCGGGAGAGGGAUGCGGAAUUCCAGGUGUAGCGGUGAAAUGCGUAGAUAUCUGGAGGAACACCGGUGGCGAAGGCGGCAUCCUGGACCGGCAUUGACGCUGAGGAGCGAAAGCCAGGGGAGCAAACGGG